UUUUCGGAGAGUUUGAUCCUGGCUCAGAGUGAACGCUGGCGGCGUGGAUUAGGCAUGCAAGUCGAGCGAUAUUGGGGGGGGUGCUUCGCAAGAAGUACUUCAACCGUAAAGAUAAGCUCGCGUCCUAUCAGCUAGUUGGCAGGGUAAUGGCCUACCAAGGCUUUUGACGGGUAGCUGGUCUAAGAGGAUGGUCAGCCACACGGGGACUGAGACACUGCCCCGACUCCUACGGGAGGCUGCAGUCGAGAAUCUUUAGCAAUGGGCGAAAGCCUGACUAUGCGACGCCGCGUGAGGGAUGAAGUAUUUCGGUACGUAAACCUCUUUCGAUAGGGAAGAAAUCUCCUGUAGAAAUGCAGGAGCUGACGGUACCUAGAGAAGAAGCCACGGCCAACUCCGUGCCAGCAGCCGCGGUAAUACGGGGGUGGCGAGCGUUACUCGGAUUUAUUGGGUGUAAAGGGCAGGUAGGUGGCUAUAUAAGUUGGGGGUGAAAUCCUUUGGCUCAACCAAAGAAC
rnacentral:rRNA from 1 species